GGAAUAUGUAUUGGAUUAUCCAUAAUAUAUUUCAUGAUCUCAACUCGAACUCCAAAAUGGCUAGCAAGAAUCAUGGAAGAGUUGGAACACAAACUUAUUAUGCGGAUUAGAAAGAAGCAACGAGGUAAAAGGCAUUACAGAAGAAGAAAAAUAAUCGCUUCUAGACAAGUUACCAACUGAGUAGGAUUUGAUUACAGAACUUCGGGUAUUCAAGUUAAGGUCUAUGCUGAUU
rnacentral:misc_RNA from 1 species